AUUGAACGCUGGCGGCAGGCCUAACACAUGCAAGUCGAGCGAGCGGCGGACGGGUGAGUAAUGUAUGGGGAUCUGCCCGAUAGAGGGGGAUAACUACUGGUAACGGCGGCUAAUACUGCAUACUAUCGGAUGAACCUAUAUGGGACUAGCUAGUAGGGGGGGUAAAGGUCCACCUAGGCGACGAUCCCUAGCUGGUCUGAGAGGAUGAUCAGCCACACGGGAACUGAGACACGGCCCAUGCUCCGACGGGAGGCAGCAGUGGGGAAUAUUGCACAAUGGGCGCAAGCCUGAUGCAGCCAUGCCGCGUGUAUGAAGAAGGCCUUAGGGUUGUAAAGUACUUUCAGCGGGGAGGCGUUACCCGCAGAAGAAGCACCGGCUAACUCCGUGCCAGCAGCCGCGGUAAUAC
rnacentral:rRNA from 1 species